GAGCUAAUUCUGCUACCACCAUCAUCUAUUGCAACAAGUGAUGGCUCCCACUGAUUGUCGCCGGAAGCUUGCGUCCUCUUCAGGACGGACGAUGACAGCGACGUCAACAUUUGAAACGUGGAAGAUGGACACGGAAGAAGAAGGCCUAGGGACAAUCUA